GAGACACCCUUCUGGGGCAAGACUUGCUUCAGUGGGGCUUUGGUGCUCACUGAGUCGUCCUCCUGAGUGUGUCCCU
rnacentral:pre_miRNA from 1 species